UACGUAGGGUGCAAGCGUUAUCCGGAAUUACUGGGUGUAAAGGUCGAGUAGACGGUUAUCUAAGUCAGUUGUGAAAACUAGGAGCUCAACUUCAAGCGUGCAACUGAAGCUAGACUGCUAGAGUGCAGGAGAGGAAAAUGGAAUUCCUAGUGUAGCGGUGAAAUGCGUAGAUAUUAGGAGGAACACCAGUCGCGAAGGCGAUUUUCUGGACUGUAACUGACGUUGAGGCGCGAAAGUGUGGGGAGCAAAC
rnacentral:rRNA from 1 species